GGGGAGGCGCAGAGACUGAG
rnacentral:miRNA from 1 species